UCUCAGUUCAGGCAGCAGCAGUACCAGGUGUAUGUACAUAACUUCCAAGACACACGAGUGCAAUUCUGAAGCUGAUUUUCAGCCAUGGAGAGAAGAAAUGCAGGAUGCAGCCAAGAGUCAUUUUACUAAAGGCACAGGGAGAGGACACAUCAAAGGAAAAGGUCCAUCAAAUCACAAUGUUCCGUCAGGCGUGGGGACACCUGCCUUGCUGAUAUGUCUGCAAUGUUCCAAACUGGCAAGUGCUAAACCUGCUGUGAUACUGCGGAACAAAAAUGCCAAACAACUCCGCUUUGUCUCAACAAAGAUGCAAGGAGUUAAAACGGGUGCAGCUAUGUGAAAGCAGCUAUGUGUUCGAACAGCUACUGGGAAUUCAGAA